rnacentral:rRNA from 1 species
AUUGAACGCUGGCGGCAUGCUUUACACAUGCAAGUCGAACGGUAACAGGGUGCUUGCACCGCUGACGAGUGGCGAACGGGUGAGUAAUGCGUCGGAACGUGCCGAGUAGUGGGGGAUAACGCAGCGAAAGUUGUGCUAAUACCGCAUACGUACUGAGGUAGAAAGUGGGGGACCUUCGGGCCGCACGCUAUUCGAGCGGCCGACGGCUGAUUAGCGAGUAGGUGAGGUAAAGGCUCACCUAGGCGACGAUCAGCAGCGGGUCUGGGAGGAUGAUCCGCCACACUGGGACUGAGACACGGCCCAGACUCCUACGGGAGGCAGCAGUGGGGAAUCUUGCGCAAUGGGCGAAAGCCUGAUGCAGCGACGCCGCGUGAGGGAAGAAGGCCUUCGGGUUGUAAACCUCUUUCAGGAGGGACGAAGCCACUCGGGUUAACAGCCCAGAGGGUGACGGUACCUCCAGAAGAAGCCCCGGCUAACUACGUGCCAGCCGCCGCCGUAA